GCCUCCCCUUUCGAACGUUGUUCGGAAUCACUGGGCUUAAAGGGCGCGUAGGCGGCUUCGCAAGUCCGGGGUGAAAGCCCCCAGCUUAACUGGGGAAGUGCCUCGGAUACUGCGGAGCUCGAGGGAGGUAGGGGCGGAUGGAACUUCCGGUGGAGCGGUGAAAUGCGUUGAUAUCGGAAGGAACGCCGGUGGCGAAAGCGAUCCGCUGGCCCUCUACUGACGCUGAGGCGCGAAAGCCAGGGGAGCAAACGGG
rnacentral:rRNA from 1 species